rnacentral:rRNA from 1 species
GACAGAGGGUGCAAACGUUGUUCGGAAUUACUGGGCGUAAAGCGCGUGUAGGCUGCUUCAAAAGUCGGGUGUGAAAGCCCUGGGCUCAACCUAGGAAGUGCACUCGAAACUGCGGAGCUUGAGUCCUGGAGAGGAAGGCGGAAUUCUCGGUGUAGAGGUGAAAUUCGUAGAUAUCGGGAGGAACACCAGUGGCGAAGGCGGCGAUCUGGGAAGAUACUGACGCUGAGGUGCGAAAGCGUGGGGAGCAAACAGG